GUUCCUGUAGUUGAAUACAACGGUGGUUCUUCAAAUCAUUGGUCUCAGUUAAAGCCUGAGUGGGAAUU
rnacentral:tRNA from 1 species